CCUUGACCUCAAAUCGGGUGAGACUACCCGCUGAACUUAAGCAUAUCA
rnacentral:rRNA from 11 species